GCUAACGCAUUAAAUGAUCCGCCUGAGUAGUAUGCUCGCAAGAGUGAAACUUAAAGGAAUUGACGGGGACCCGCACAAGCGGUGGAGCAUGUGGUUUAAUUUGAAGAUACGCGGAGAACCUUACCCACUCUUGACAUCCUUCGCAAUGCUAUAGAGAUAUAGCGGAGGUUAACGGAGUGACAGAUGGUGCAUGGUUGUCGUCAGCUCGUGUCGUGAGAUGUUUGGUCAAGUCCUGCAACGAGCGCAACCCCUAUCUUUAGUUACUAACGAGUCAUGUCGAGGACUCUAGAGAUA
rnacentral:rRNA from 1 species